rnacentral:lncRNA from 1 species
CCCUUGUUUAUUUCGCUCUCCUGUCAAAUCAUGUAAUUUCGCUACCUCCAAUGGUAGACGCUACAACGAUGGGUGUCGUCAAGAAAGGUACGAUUAAAGGAAUCAGCUAGGAAUUAGACGAUCACCAUUGGUAUAGGUGAGUUGUUUAAUAGUUGUUGCUUUGGGAUAAAUGCAUGUUUUGGAUUUAUUCAUAAUCAGGAAUAGCUGGAAAGGAAAGAAACGUGUUGCUACGUGAACCCGGAAAGGCCGGGACGAAUUUUAAAAAAAAAUCUAGAGACGAUCGUUCUGAGUGUGCCACCUACACAUUCAAACGUGUACACAAGCACAGUAUUCCCUAUCUAUGUAAUGUGUUUUCAUAAUUAUGUGAUAUAGGGCAAAAAAAGGUAGCAGCUUUUUGUAUCUUGUUGUUAAGCAUUUCCAGGGGAGAUAAUGUUAUUUUUCACGGUGUGUUCGAUAGGUUUGUUACAUUGUAACAUUAUAUAAUACACACUCAUAAAGUGGAUUAAAAUAGCCUCCCACACUCAAUUAACUGAAUUUCAAUUAUUCUAUUUACCGUAGUGCUAUUAUAUAAGACUUCGGAGGUUCAUAUCACUUAUAUUCAACGUUUUUAUAUCGGAUUUUUUUUUACUAUUGAUGUUGAACGGUUCAAAGUAAUAAAAAAAAAUCCGAUAAAACCGUUGAAUGUAAAUGAUAUGAAUCUCAGAAGUCUUAUAUAUUGUCCUCUAAUAUAAGACCGGAGGUUCAUAUCAUUUACAUUCAACAUUUUUUAUCGAACUUUUGUUUACUAUCAAUGUUGAACGGUUCAACGGUUCGACAUUGGUAGUUAAAAAAAAAUCCGAUAAAAAAUAACGGUUCAACAUUGAUAUAAAAAAAAAUCCGAUAAACAUGUUGAAUGUAAAUGAAAUGAAACUCUGAAGCCUUACAUUAUAGGACUAUCGUUUAUUAGUUCUUUAUCCUAACUAAAUGUUUUUUGUGGUGUACAUUACAAAAAAAAAGGGGGGGGGGUUCAAAAACACCAAAAUACCUUAACAAUCCUACAAUAUCUGUUUACAGAAUGAGAGAGAUAUUUCGUAUUCUAAAACUAAUUUUUUCUCACAUGUUUGUUAGAUAUGUUGAAAAUACAGACAAAAUUUUUAAUGUUUAGUACGUAUAUCCAUCCCCUCUUUUUCAAUUCAUUAGUUCAAGAUACAGCUCUGAAGAAUAUGCAAUAACCUACAUUAUUCUAACAUGUGAAGACCAAUGAAAACAUUUGAUAUGAUUUGAAAACAAGGCCAAUUAAGUAGGAACUUUGGGUUUCGUAGACAUAAAUUAUAAUUCAACAUUUUCGAUUAAUAUUUUAAAUUUUCUUUAUUUCAUAUUCUAGUAUAUUUAAUAACAUGUUUAUAUUUUGUGAUGCAUCUGAUGUAUAAAUCCAGUGGCAGAUCCGGGAAAGAGCUCUUAGUUCCGAUCCGUUUGUACGGGGAACAUGUGGUUGCAACCCCCUCUUUAAUUGCCUGUUCGAUUUUUAUGUUUGCAGUGUCGAAAAGGGAGAUAGACAGCAGUUUUAUCAAGAAGUUAUGUGAAAGUUCUGCUAUACAUCUGACAGUCAGGAAUUAUUCUGAAGUACACAUGUCGACCAGAGGCAUAGAACAGAGAGGAGAGGUUUUAAAGUACCAGAUGCUUAUCUGAGAUUCCAAUUUGAACUAAAGAAAGCAAUAUAUAAAGAUAUGUAGGAGAAAUAAUCUAUAUGAAUAAAGUUAUGCCACAAAA